AAAGAUGUUGCUGCAGGAUGGAUCUGUACGACUGUAUUUCAGCAAGCGCUGUGGAUGAUUGCAAUAUAUAAUCAUAGUAAUGAAGAUCUAGAUCUAACCCUCACCUUUAAAAAGAUUUUGUAUGCGUUGGGAUCCAUUGGUGUUGUUUUGCUGAAUGCUGUUGCACUGAUGACAGAAAUUAUACUAAAAACAGUUAAUGGUGAGCGUGCAGUUGGCGAUUUGAGAAUUGUUGUCUUCUCCUCUGAAAGCAUCUUUACUCUUUCUCUGCUGAUUUUGCUCAUGUUUGGAUGCUGUA